rnacentral:rRNA from 1 species
GACGAACGCUGGCGGCGUGCUUAACACACGCAAGUCGAACGGAAAGGCCCUGCUUUUGUGGGGUGCUCGAGUGGCGAACGGGUGAGUAACACGUGAGUAACCUGCCCUUGACUUUGGGAUAACUUCAGGAAACUGGGGCUAAUACCGGAUAGGAGCUCCUGCUGCAUGGUGGGGGUUGGAAAGUUUCGGCGGUUGGGGAUGGACUCGCGGCUUAUCAGCUUGUUGGUGGGGUAGUGGCUUACCAAGGCUUUGACGGGUAGCCGGCCUGAGAGGGUGACCGGCCACAUUGGGACUGAGAUACGGCCCAGACUCCUACGGGAGGCAGCAGUGGGGAAUAUUGCAUAAUGGGCGGAAGCCUGAUGCAGCAACGCCGCGUGCGGGAUGACGGCCUUCGGGUUGUAAACCGCUUUCGCCUGUGACGAAGCGUGAGUGACGGUAAUGGGUAAAGAAGCACCGGCUAACUACGUG